rnacentral:rRNA from 1 species
UUAACUGACGCUAAAGCUCGAAGGUGCGGGUAUCGAACAGGAUUAGAUACCCUGGUAGUCCGCACGGUAAACGAUGGAUGCCCGCUGUCGGCGACAGACUGUCGGCGGCCAAGCGAAAGCGUUAAGCAUCCCACCUGGGGAGUACGCCGGCAACGGUGAAACUCAAAGGAAUUGACGGGGGCCCGCACAAGCGGAGGAACAUGUGGUUUAAUUCGAUGAUACGCGAGGAACCUUACCCGGGCUUGAACUGCAGGAGAACGAUCCAGAGAUGGUGAGGCCCUUCGGGGCUCCUGUGGAGGUGCUGCAUGGUUGUCGUCAGCUCGUGCCGUGAGGUGUCGGCUUAAGUGCCAUAACGAGCGCAACCCCUUUCGCCAGUUGCCAUCAGGUGAUGCUGGGCACUCCGGCGACACUGCCACCGUAAGGUGUGAGGAAGGUGGGGAUGACGUCAAAUCAGCACGGCCCUUACGUCCGGGGCUACACACGUGUUACAAUGGGUGGUACAGAGAGUCAGCGGCCGGCAACGUCCGCUCAAUCAAGAAAGCCAUCCUCAGUUCGGAUUGGGGUCUGCAACCCGACCCCAUGAAGCUGGAUUCGCUAGUA